AGAGUUUGAUCCUGGCUCAGGAUAAACGCUGGCGGCGCACAUAAGACAUGCAAGUCGAACGGACUUAAUCGAUUCUUUUAGAUUCGAAGCGGUUAGUGGCGGACUGGUGAGUAACACGUAAGCAACCUGCCUAUUAGAGGGGAAUAACAGUGAGAAAUCACUGCUAAAACCGCAUAUGCCGUGAACAUCGCAUGAUGAAAACGGGAAAAGAGCAAUCUGCUAAUAGAUGGGCUUGCGUCUGAUUAGCUAGUUGGUGUGGUAAAGGCAUACCAAGGCAACGAUCAGUAGCCGGACUGAGAGGUUGAACGGCCACAUUGGGACUGAGAUACGGCCCAGACUCCUACGGGAGGCAGCAGUCGGGAAUAUUGCGCAAUGGAGGAAACUCUGACGCAGUGACGCCGCGUAUGGGAAGAAGGUUUUCGGAUUGUAAACCAUUUUAGACAAGGAAGAAACAAGACAGUACUUGUAGAAUAAGCUCCGGCUAACUACGUGCCAGCAGCCGCGGUAAUACGUAGGGAGCAAGCGUUAUCCGGAUUUAUUGGGUGUAAAGGGUGCGUAGACGGGAAGGUAAGUUAGUUGUGAAAUCCCUCGGCUCAACUGAGGAACUGCGACUAAAACUGCUUUUCUUGAGUGCUGGAGAGGAAAGUGGAAUUCCUAGUGUAGCGGUGAAAUGCGUAGAUAUUAGGAGGAACACCAGUGGCGAAGGCGACUUUCUGGACAGUAACUGACGUUGAGGCACGAAAGUGUGGGGAGCAAACAGGAUUAGAUACCCUGGUAGUCCACACCGUAAACGAUGGAUACUAGGUGUAGGGGAUAUUAAGUCUUCUGUGCCGUCGCAAACGCAGUAAGUAUC
rnacentral:rRNA from 1 species